rnacentral:rRNA from 1 species
GCUGGAAUCGCUAGUAAUCGCGGAUCAGAAUGCCGCGGUGAAUACGUUCCCGGGUCUUGUACACACCGCCCGUCACACCAUGGGAGUCAGUAACGCCCGAAGUCAGUGACCGAACCGAGAGGACGGAGCUGCCGAAGGCGGGACGGAUAACUGGGGUGAAGUCGUAACAAGGUAAC